rnacentral:rRNA from 1 species
AAUAUUGGACAAUGGGCGAAAGCCUGAUCCAGCCAUGCCGCGCGUGUGAAGAAGGUCUUCGGAUUGUAAAGCACUUUAAGUUGGGAGGCAGGGCAGUAAGUUAAUACCUUGCUGUCUUGACGUUACCGACAGAAUAAGCACCGGCUAACCUCGUGCCAGCAGCCGCGGUAAUACGAAGGGUGCAAGCGUUAAUCGGAAUUACUGGGCGUAAAGCGCGCGUAGGUGGUUUGAUAAGUUGGAAGUGAAAGCCCGGGGCUCAACCUGGGAAAUGAUUUCAAAACGGGCAAGCUAGAGUAUGGCAGAGGGUGGUGGAGUUUCCUGUGUAGCGGUGAAAUGCGUAGAUAUAGGAAGAAACACCAGAGGCGAAGGCGACCACCUGGGCUAAUACUGACACUGAGGUGCGAAAGCGUGGGGAGCAAACA